GUGGAAGUCCUCCAAACGAAUAUUUUUAAGAAAACGUUUUCGGGUGAUCUGACUUCUAGGGGCAAAAACGGUAUUAUAAGUUUGGAAUUUGGAAAAUACCAAGAAAUAGAAGUUGUAGAUAAUUGAAUUAGCUUUCCAACCAUAGGUCGUGGGUUCCCAGGUGACAUCGGUACAAGGAGAUAUGGACGUUUUAAGGUCGAAAGGUCAGUGGGCUAGGCCCAACUCGGGAUCAACCGAGUUGGCCCAAAAAAAUAAAAAACGAAUUAAGGCCCAAAGGAGAGGGGUGGCCGGCCAUCUUAUGGCCCAAGCCCACAAAAUUAAUAAAUUUCCCAUGUGAUAAUUAAUAUAAAGGAUCAUUAAAUUGUCUUGAAACAUUUAGAAGUUUCAAGACAAUUGAGAAAGAGAGAAACAAGAGAAAGAAGAGCAAGAAUAAGAAGGCCAUUUUCGGCCAAGCUCUAGACCAAAAAAAAAAAAAAAAAAAAAUUUUUUUUUUCAAAAAUCAUUUUCUACCAAUUAAAGGGUCCUUUACAACUUGGUGUAAUUAUUUUGGAAGAAAGAACACUUGUUUCUUCAAGUUGACAACUUGGUCAAGUGAAGAAGAUUGUAGAAAAAGAUUUUGGCGAACUUGAAACUUGAUUUUGGAGACGUGUAUGAAUCGGAAAAGGUCAACAGGUAGACAGAUUUGACUCUUAGAAGCUCCAUCAGCAGUACU